AGUGAACGCUGGCGGCAGGCCUAACACAUGCAAGUCGAACGGCAGCACAGUAAGAGCUUGCUCUUACGGGUGGCGAGUGGCGGACGGGUGAGGAAUACAUCGUAAUCUACUUUUUCGUGGGGGAUAACGAAGGGAAACUUACGCUAAUACCGCAGACGACCUACGGGGGAAAGCAGUGGAACUUCGCACCUGUCGCGAUUGAAUGAGCGGAUGUCGGAUUAGCUAGUUGGCGGGUUAAAGGCCCACGAAGGCGACGAUCCGUAGCCGGUCUGGGAGGAGGAUCAGCCACACUGGAACUGAGACACGGUCAAGACUACUACGGGAGGGCGCAGUGGGGAAUGUUGGGCAGUGGUCGCAAACAUGACACAGUGGUCCCACGCGGGUGGAGGAGGCCUCCGGGUCGUAAAGACGGUUUGUUGGGAAAGAACAGCAGCCGCUUAAUACGACGCUGUUCUGACGGUACCGAAAGAAUAAGCACCGGCUAACUUCGUG
rnacentral:rRNA from 1 species